CGCCCUUAGAGUUUGAUCCUGGCUCAGAGCGAACGCUGGCGGCACGCUUAACACAUGCAAGUCGCACGAAGGUUUCGGCCUUAGUGGCGGACGGGUGAGUAACGCGUAGGUAUCUAUCCAUGGGUGGGGGAUAACACUGGGAAACUGGUGCUAAUACCGCAUGACACCUGAGGGUCAAAGGCGUAAGUCGCCUGUGGAGGAGCCUGCGUUUGAUUAGCUAGUUGGUGGGGUAAAGGCCUACCAAGGCGAUGAUCAAUAGCUGGUUUGAGAGGAUGAUCAGCCACACUGGGACUGAGACACGGCCCAGACUCCUACGGGAGGCAGCAGUGGGGAAUAUUGGACAAUGGGGGCAACCCUGAUCCAGCAAUGCCGCGUGUGUGAAGAAGGUCUUCGGAUUGUAAAGCACUUUCGACGGGGACGAUGAUGACGGUACCCGUAGAAGAAGCCCCGGCUAACUUCGUGCCAGCAGCCGCGGUAAUACGAAGGGGGCUAGCGUUGCUCGGAAUGACUGGGCGUAAAGGGCGUGUAGGCGGUUUGUACAGUCAGAUGUGAAAUCCCCGGGCUUAACCUGGGAGCUGCAUUUGAUACGUGCAGACUAGAGUGUGAGAGAGGGUUGUGGAAUUCCCAGUGUAGAGGUGAAAUUCGUAGAUAUUGGGAAGAACACCGGUGGCGAAGGCGGCAACCUGGCUCAUUACUGACGCUGAGGCGCGAAAGCGUGGGGAGCAAACAGGAUUAGAUACCCUGGUAGUCCACGCUGUAAACGAUGUGUGCUAGAUGUUGGGUGACUUAGUCAUUCAGUGUCGCAGUUAACGCGUUAAGCACACCGCCUGGGGAGUACGGCCGCAAGGUUGAACUCAAAGGAAUUGACGGGGGCCC
rnacentral:rRNA from 1 species